AGAAGAGUUUAACAGCCUGCAGUCUGCAGAACAAAAUAUUUAGACACUCCGCGUCCACACACGCAAGGCCGUAAAUGUAAUAUACAUUUUUUCUUGGUGAAAUGGGGAGGGGGAAAUGUGUACCAAAUAUCGAUCGUGUUGUACUUUUAUCGACUGAAAUAAUUAUUUUCCUACAACAUUGUCAACCGUAAUUAAUCUAAAAACUAUGAAAUAUUAAUUUAUAAACUAUUUUAG